UUAAAUAUAAACUCUGACUAGGAAAUUAUAAAGUCAUUUUUGUUGCUAGUUUAAUCUAGCAUGAUUUAGGUUCCAAAUAAUUAUUGGAAAUGAAAAAUAAUAUCUUAACUGAGAUUUUUAAUGUAUAGCUCAAUAUAUGUGUAUGACUGUUUCAUAUUCUGAGUGCAUUUUAUAUUCUUUACAAUUGAAAAUGACACUAAUGAUGAUGAAUAUUGAAGAAAACCAAUAUGUAGACUAUCACACUGGGGUGUGUGUGAGGAGAACUGGGAUAUUUGUCUGAUUUGUGGCUGCAAGCCACCUCUUUGAGACUGUCUUCUUUUCCUUUGGACCAGUCUUCAAGGUUUGAUUUACUCUACUAAGCAAUAGUUAAAGUAGCUAUAAUAAUGAUAAUAAUACGUAGUUAUGUAUAGCCUACCCUCUGGACUCUGGGAAGUGUGUGGAUUAUCAUCUCAAUGGUCCAUCCAUGAUUUUCCGUCUUCAGAUUGGUAGAUGGAAAUCCCUUUUGAGAACAUUUUCCUUAGUAUUUAUCACACAAACUUCUUUUACAUUUGUUACUGUUUAUUGACUACUGAUAGAGUGCUAGCUCAGCUUCAGAAUAAAGAAUACUUAGAAGCCAGCUAAGUAUUUUUUGUCCCAACUCAUGGGCAAAACCGUUUUUAUUGUUAACUUUUUGGAUGUGAUGACCUUGCUCCAGCACAACAUGUGCCCUUGUGAAUGAGGCUUGAUUUAUUUUAAGUUCUCUCCAGAAGGACUUCCGGCAGUGCUGCUUUAUUGUUUGCAGAUUUUGCAGAAUUUAGCUCAAUUAUUUUGAACAACUGUGAUUGUUGAAUAUCCACCCUGGAUCCUCUAUUUUUGGUACCUCUGAAGUGGUGAGUUGACUUUGAGCUGAUUCCAUUUGGCUUUUGAAAUUCAACAGAAUGAGAAAGAAAUUACUUAGAAUGAAGACAUGAAUUUUAGACUACUCCUUUGAAUGUGAUUUUUUCAUAUUGGUUUGUACUGUAGCUUUUCUGAUGGAAAUGCAGUUCAUUGUCUUUUUGCUUAAAAAAAUAAAUACUUGGAUGCCUGCAAAGUUUUUUUUUCUAGUAAUAGUAAUACAGCUUAGUUCUACCUGACAAUUUCCCAAACUGGUUAAAUUUUACUUAAUUCAAGCAGUAUUCAUAGAAUUAUGACGGUCCUGAAAGGAUACUCCAGAUUAAUCUCAUUUAAUUUUAUUGAAAGUAAGCUCCUUGAGGACAGGGACUCUUUGCUUUUUAAAAUUUUGUUUAGCUUUAUCUUUCUCAUUGCCUUUUCUUUCUGUCCCACCAUCACCCUCUUAAUGCUGCAAUGAUUUACUUUUAAUUUUUUCCUUUUUUUUUAACUAAAAACAAAAGAUAUAAUAAACAUAAAAACACAAUUUUAGAUUUUAUGAAGAUUAACUACAUAAAAGUAGUUACUUUUUUCUUAGAAAGGUACCAUUUAUUCACUAAAUUUUUUUACAUGAAUAGUUUAAAAUUGCAUUGUUAAAAACGGUGUUUAAAAACUGGAAAAUUGGUUUUGUUUUGAAAACUGGAAAAAUACUUUGGUAUGUAUCGAGCCAAUUUUUAAAAAUUCUCUAAAGCAAUUUUAGGGGCUUGUAAACAUUUCUUAAUAAAUGCUUGUUGAUUGGUAAUAAGAGUGAGAAGUAAUAUGACAUGAUUAGUGAUUCAUCCUCAAUUAAGACCUGGGUUCAAUUCUAGUCUCUGGCUGAAUUACCCUAUGCAGUAUAAGAAAUCAAGCCAUUCUCCAAUUGAUAAAUAGUCAAAGGAUAUGAACAGACAAUUUUCAGAUGAUGAAAUUGAAACUAUUUCCACUCAUGAAAGAGUAUUCCAAAUCACUAUUGACUUAGCAACUUGCUAAAUCUAAAGAUUACAGAACAGUACCUCAAUUUAUGCUAAUGGAGGGGUUUUCCUUAUCAGGAUCUCCCUAUUCAGAUAAAAGCACAAAUUGGGCCAAAAAAUUAUUACUACUAUUAACCCAGUUGUCUAACAUAAAUUGAGAGGUCGGUUGCUGGGUUUUUUUAAAUCACAGAAGGAAGACCUCAGAUAUUUACUCUGGAUGGGAAUGCUUGUAUUCUUGUCUUAUUACUGCCUCUCCCCCUUAUACUUCAAAGAACUUUUGUCUAAGGAAUAACCAGAACUUCAAAUGACUCAGUGGAAAAUUGAAAUUUGUUCUAUAUUCUAUGUUUACUAGACCUUUAACAUAACCAAACUCAGAUCUGGAUUGCUUCCUUUUUGAGCAAAAUGUAUCGAUUUUGAAGACAAAACAGAAAAACUUUUUUUUAAAUUAUAACUUUUUAUUGACAGUACAUUUGCAUGGGUCAUUUUUUGCAACAUUAUCUCUUGCACUCACUUCUGUUCUGACUUUUCCCUUUCCUCCCUCCACCCCCUCCCCUAGAAGGCAGGCAGUCUUAUACAUGUUAAAUAUGUUAUAGUAUAUCCUAGAUCCAAUAUACGCAUGCAGAACUGAAACAGUUCUCUUGUUGCACAGGAAGAAUUGGAUUUGGAAAGUAAAAAUAACCCGGGAAGAAAAACAAAAAUGAAAACAGUUUACACUCAUUUCCCAGUGUUCCUUCUCUGGGUUUAGCCGAUUCUGUCCAUCAUUGAUCAAUUGGAACUGAAUUAGAUCUUCUCUUUGUCGAAGACAUCCACUUCCAUCAGAAUACAUCUUCAUAAAGUAUUGUUGUUGUCAUGUAUAAUGAUCUCCUGGUUCUGCUCAUAUCACUCAGCAUCAGUUCAUAUUUCCCUUGUAUCUCUCUUUCGCCCCUUUCCAGAGAGCCGUCCAUUAUGAAAAAAUAAAAAAAUUUAAAAAAAAGAAGAGGGGACAAAAAUGCAAAAUUGAUCAGGUACAACAAAAAUUGACAUUUUAUUAUGCAGUAUACCACAGUUAAUGGAUCCCCCUCCUCCCACCUUGGCAAAAUGUAAAUGAAUGUAAUGGAAUAUUACUGCCCUAUAAGAAACGACAAAUAUGAUUAACAUAAAGAAGAAUGGAAAGACUUACAUGAACUGAUGCACCGUUGAAAUAAGUGGAGACCAGAAAACAGUAUGUUCGAUGACUGCAGCAAUGUAAAUGGAAAAAAACAACUACAAAACAGUUGAAAACGGAUGUUCCAAAAUGACAAAAGAAUACAUUUGGUCUCGAAGAGCCAUGAGAAGACUUAAGGGAUUGUUAAUGAGAAUUUCUGAAUGAUGUUUGUGAAUGGUUCUAGUUGAUAUAUCUAAGGCAAGCCUUUGAAGGCUUAGCUUUGAAGUACUUAUGAGUAAAAAAUAGAAAUUCUCAAAGUUAGGAACGAUAUUUUUUUCUUCCCUGUAACAGUACAGUGCUUUUUAUGUAAUGUUUAUUGAACAAACUUAGGAAAUAGAAAUAUUGAGUGAAUAUUUAAAUUAAUUUCUUAGUGACAAAAAAUGUGAGCGUGGUUUAUUUGAAUAUAUCUAUGGAGCUUCAAAGGUGAUUUAACUGCUUUUAAAAAGGCAUUUCUGUAUUUUUAAGAGUAGCAGAUUAAAAUGAGGAAAAAAUCCAUAAGAAAAGUAAGUUGGAUAGAUGAAGAUUAGAAAUGCAUUUGAGAUAAUGAAAUAAGAGUAGAAUGGAAAGUAAUUAGGUGGACUGAAUAGGAUUGAGCUCAAAAAAUAGAAGAUUAGGUGGUGGGAGAUAGGAGGUAUGAGAAAGUAAAGAUGAAGAGACGGUAAGGGCAAAUUCAUUUGAUGGCAUAUGUAGGGAAAAAAAUACUCUUGUUAAGCAUAUUCUCAGCUGUGAUGUCAUUUCCAAGCUGUUGCCACUUCUGAAUUUUGGAGGUCAUUAGGGUUCAGAGUAAAUGGCCUUUUUAUAAUGCUCUGGUCUCAACAAAUACUGAAUGGCUUACAGAAGAAUGUUUCUUCUGAGAAGAUAAAUACAUAGAUAAUAUGAGGGUAUGAAUUGAGAAAUGGGACUAUUUUCUUAGUUUCACAUUAAUUUUUCAUUCUGAAGAAUACUCUUGCUAAAGUGCAUUGUAAUUACAAACCUCAAAUAUCUUAAGUUUCCAUUUCAUAAUUGAAAUCAUACAACUCAGGUUAGCCAAGUUACCAAGUACAUUGUUGUGUAUUAUUUUGCAUGAGGAGACUUAACUCCUAGUUAGUAGAAGGUACACGUUAUCUAGGUCAUUUAGAUACAGAGCUGUGGUUUUGUGAUUUCAUUACUAAAAUUUAGCCUUUGGUUCAUUAUCAUUAGUAUGUUGUUAAAAAAUAUUUCAGGCAUUGAAAAUAAAUGAACAUAGAAUGUAAGCUCCUUGGGGGCAAGGACUAUUAUAUAUAUAUAUUAAUUUUAUUCAAAGUCCUGGCAUAAUGUCUAGCACAUAUUAAUGGUGUGAUUACUUUAUACAGCAUAAUAUAAUUAAAUUUUUUGCCUCAUGUAAUAAAUCUUAUAACUUUUGAAAUUUUUAAAAAUCUACUAUGAAAAAAUGUUCUUUUGCUACAUGAUUUGGCUUUUUGUUCACAAGAUUUUGACCCAUUUUUAAAUUCAUCAUUCUACCACAUCACUUGAGAUAUGAAGUAUAGCUUUGAAUAUUCUGUUUUUCCAAAUUUAGCCUUGAUUAUAUUCCAUAUGUUUACUGUGGAGUAUAAAUCAGGCUAGUUCCCAGACCAUCAGAACAUGUUGCUUUUCAUCUUUCUGUUAAAUUUCUUAAUCCUUUUGUAAUGCAUGACAUUGCACAGUUGUGUUGCAAGGUCCCAACUCUGCGAAAUUUUGUUAAUUCUGGAACAUUUCUGCUUCUCCACAUGAAAGUAUAUUUAUCAGAGUUCAUUAUUCCCUUUAUAGGGACCAGACUUUGAAAGACACAGGAAGUAAAGAAAAAAGUCAGUUUUCAGACUGUUCUUGGUGAUUGCAAUCUGAGACUUCUUGGAGAUGUUAGAGUAGGUUUGGUUAACCUUAACAUGAGACAAUGACACCAGUGAAAUUAGUCUUUUUCUAAUCUUCAUUAAUAUGGUUUUGCUAUUGACAAGCAUUUUUUUCUUCAUAGUAAUGAUAAAUCACUGCUGUUUAUUAGUCUUAUCACUGUUUUUCUAAUUUCAAAAAACUUCUGACUCACUGUCAUAAUUAUUAAAUAAGGAAAAAUAAGGGGGAAAAAAGCAGUUAAUAACCCAUUCAAGUGUCAGGUCUCUUUAAAGAUCUUUGCUUGUUGAGAUUUGCUUUUUGUUUUGUCACGUCUUUUUUCCCUUUCCAGCCAUUGUUCUCUUUGCACUUCCUAUAUAGCUGAUCCAGCUUGCUUAUUGUGUAGGCAAGUGAUCAUUGAAAGGCUAGACUUCUCUACAGCUAUAUAAUCAUUACACUGUCUCUUGUAGUCAUUUAAAUACACUCUUUAAAAUGGCAAUUUUUACAUACUAAUUUGGAGUAGUAUUCAUUUUUCCAAAACUACAGAAUUAAUAUAAAAACAGCAAUAUACUGAAAGAGAAGUAACUGAAAAAGUAGGAAAAAAAAACUAAUUUUGUUUAUUCUGGUCUGUAUGAAUAGUUUUGAGUUGUUUUAAUAGCAAUAGACACGUGGAUAAGAUAUAACAAAGUAAUCCCCCCAAAUUAGUUGUUUAUAAUUCUUUUAUACACCACUUAGUGUUUUCUAAAUACUUGUUGAAUGAAUGAAUUCUGGAAGUGCAUAUUAAUGGCAAAAUUUGAUUCCCUGAGGUAAAAAUAUAUUUGUGUGUAGGUUUUUAUUUUUGUUUUGCUUUGUUUUUUAUUUUGAAGGACAUUAACAACUUUAGGAAGCUAAAGAUUCCAUUUUUCAAGCAUCUGCACUAUGCUGGAUGCUAAUAAUAUGGAGGAAAAAAAAGACACAGCUCUUGCCUCCAAGAAGUCUAUCUUUUAUUGUGACAUACAGCAUAUAUUGACAUAUAUAAUUACAUGGUGAUUUGGAGUGGGCUGGCACUAACUGCAGCAGAAUCAGGAAAGGCUUUAUUUAAAAGUGGUAUUUGAGCUGAAUAUUGAAGGAAAGUAGGAAUUCUCAGAAGCCAAAGUGAGAAGGAAGGGUAUGGAGUUCUGGUUGGUAUAGAGAUUUGAUGGUGAAAGUUUUGUGUCUGAGGAACAGCCAGGUGGCUAAUUUGACUAGCCUGCAGUGUGCAGAUAUCAUUGAUGUUUUAUAAAACUUGAAAGAUAUGUUGGAGUCCUAGUGUGAAGGGCUUUUUUUUUUUUUUUUCAAUUUUUAUUUAAUAAUUACUUUAUAUUGACAGAAUCCAUGCCAGGGUAAUUUUUUUUACAUUAUCCCUUGCACUCGUUUCUGUUCCGAUUUUUCCCCUCCCUCCCUCCACCCCCUCCCCUAGAUGGCAAGCAGUCCUAUAUAUGUUAGAUAUGUUGCAGUAUAUCCUAGAUACAAUAUAUGUUUGCAGAACCGAACAGUUCUCUUGUUGCACAGGGAGAAUUGGAUUCAGAAGGUAUAAAUAACCUGAGAAGAAAAACAAAAAUGCAGAUAGUUGUGAAGGGCUUUAAAGGUGAAACACAGUAAUUUGUAUUUGAGCUUAGAAUUAAUAAGUCAUUGGAGUUAUUGAAAUGGGUUGGUGACGUUGUUAAUUCUAAAUUUUAGGAAAAUAACAGUGGAAGCUGUGUUAGAAAUAACAAAAACAAACCAAUUAGGAAAGUAUUUUAAUAGGUCAGAUGGGAGAGAACUGGAGCCAGAGUGGUGGCCUUAUGAACUGAGAAAAGGAAAACUGGUAGAUAUUCUAUGAGGGAGAUUGAAGAGAAGGUUUAAGGUUUUUCAAUCUAGGUCAAUAUUAGGGUGGAAAUGUUAGACAGAAACAGGGAAAUUUGAAAGAGAGAGCUUGAAGAGGGGCAAAAAUGAGUACACUUGGAAACGUUAAGUUUAAAGUGUCUUCAGUGUAUAUAAUUUUAAAUGUUUAAUAGACUAAGUUGGUUCUGGAGUUCAUUCAAGAAGUUGAGACUGUGUAUGUAAAUCUGGGAGCCAUCUGCUUAAACAGGAUGGUGGAUGAUAAGAUUAACUAGAGUUGAAGAAGAGAAGAGGGCCAAAGACAGAACCUUAGGAUAUACCCAUAAUUAAGAGGCAUAAUAUGGAUGAUGAUUUUAAGGAGUGACCAGUCAGUCAGUCAGCAAAUGUUAAAUUUGCAAAGAACGGGGGAUAUAAAAAGAGACAAAAGACAAUUCUCACCCUCAAGGAGCUAAUUAAUCUUAUGGGAAAGAUAAGACAUACAGAAAAAUAAAUUAAUAACAAAAGAAUUAGAUUUAGAAUUUUGAAAGUAUUUUUCUAGAACUGCAAUGUCAAGCUCAAGUCAAAAUGGAGAGGGCAUUAAACUUUCAUAAUGAUCUCUGAGCACCAUAUUGACUUAGAAAACAAUAUGUUAACAUUAUUUAUGGUCUGUUGUAUUUAUUUUGUUAAAUAUUUCCCAGUUACCUUUUCAUGUGGUGUGUGCUUGGCUGCUUAAGAUGGGAUAUUAGUUGGGACUUGAAAUGCAGGAAGAUAGGUAGGAGAACUAAGAGACAACAGCAAUGUCACCAAAGUCCAUAGAGGAGAUUAUCUCUUAAGAUGAAGGAAUGUUCAACAGUUUUGAAUGUUGGCAACUACUUUAAGGAAGAGGAGGAAGGAUAAAAAGUUCAUCGCUUUUGUUAAAAAAAACAGUGGUAAUUAUGAUUAAAAGCAUCUCCAGUUGAUUUUAGGCAAAAGCCAGAUGGCAAAAAGUUGAUAAAUGAAUCUGAGGAGUAGAAGUAUCUUUUUAUAGGAGUUUGGUUGUGAAAGGGAGCUACAGGAUAGCUUGAAGGGAUGCUCAUGUGAAGUGAAGUUUAUAAGGUUGCUGGAGACAUAGGUAAACAAAAGGCAAGGAACCAAAGAAGAGGAAAGUGGAUGAGAUAAUAUGGGGUCAGUCUAGACAGAUUUGAGGAGACUUAUGAUGAGGAACAAGCAAAAGGAGCACCUUGUUACUUGUUUUAAAGGAUUUUGAAAUGGAGAGAAGAAAAAUCUCAUUCCCUUUAGUUUUCUCAGUAAAGUGAGUAGAGGUUCUCCCUUAUUAGGGUGUGUGAGGCUUGAGAAUAGACGUGUAACAGUGCUUGGGAAGUGAUGAAGCAUCAGAUAAUAAUAAAAUGAUUGCCUUGCUGUAGUGACAGCCCAGUUCAUAUUAGGUAACAAAUUCAUGCUGGACCCAGUCUGAUUGUUGGGUCGUUAUAAUUAAGUUUUUAUUUACAACUUAAUACAAAUUAAAUGAGCAUUUCCAUAUAGAAAGUACAAUAGAAAGGAGUACCUAUGAAAUUUUGAGUCUCAUUACAGUACAGUUUUCAGGUACAUAAUAAAUUCAUCAUGUAAUUUUCAAA